rnacentral:lncRNA from 1 species
UAGGGAAGGCCACCUUGUAUGCCGUGCUGGUCAGUGCCCUCGUGCUGAUGGCCAUGGUCAAGAGAAAGGAUUCCAGAGGCUAGCUCCAAAACCAUCCCGGGUCAUUCUUCAUCCACACCCAGGAUUCUCCUGUACCUGCUCCCAAUCUGUGUUCCUAAAAGUGAUUCUCACUCUGCUUCUCAUCUCCUACUUACAUGAAUACUUCCCUCUUUUUUCUGUUUCCCUGAAGAUUGAGCUCCCAACCCCCAAGUAUGAAAUAGGCUAAACCAAUAAAAAAUGGUGUGUUAGGCCUGGUUGCAUUUCAGGAGUGUCUGUGGAGUU